rnacentral:rRNA from 1 species
UACGUAGGGUGCGAGCGUUAAUCGGAAUCACUGGGCGUAAAGCGUGCGCAGGCGGUUCGUGAUGUCUGAUGUGAAAGCCCCGGGCUCAACCUGGGAAUUGCAUUGGAAACUAGCGGGCUGGAGUGUGGCAGAGGGGGGUGGAAUUCCACGUGUAGCAGUGAAAUGCGUAGAGAUGUGGAGGAACACCGAUGGCGAAGGCAGCCCCCUGGGCUAACACUGACGCUCAUGCACGAAAGCGUGGGGAGCAAACAGG